GGCUCAGGAUGAACGCUAGCGGCAGGCCUAACACAUGCAAGUCGAGGGGUAACAUAAGUGCUUGCACUUGAUGACGACCGGCGCACGGGUGCGUAACGCGUAUACAAUCUGCCCUUUACUAAGGGAUAGCCCAUGGAAACGUGGAUUAAUAUCUUAUGGUAUCAUGACUGCGCAUGCAGACAUGGUUAAAGGUUACGGUAAAGGAUGAGUAUGCGUCCUAUUAGCUAUUAUGAGAGGUAACGGCUCCCAUAGGCGAUGAUAGGUAGGGGUUCUGAGAGGGAGAUCCCCCACACUGGUACUGAGACACGGACCAGACUCCUACGGGAGGCAGCAGUGAGGAAUAUUGGACAAUGGGAGCAAUCCUGAUCCAGCCAUGCCGCGUGCAGGAAGACGGUCCUAUGGAUUGUAAACUGCUUUUAUACAGGAAGAAAAAGCCCGACGUGUCGGGUGUUGACGGUACUGUAUGAAUAAGGAUCAGCUAACUCCGUGCCAGCAGCCGCGGUAAUACGGAGGAUCCGAGCGUUAUCCGGAAUUAUUGGGUUUAAAGGGUCCGUAGGCGGGAUAAUAAGUCAGUGGUGAAAGUUUGUGGCUCAACCAUAAAAUUGCCAUUGAUACUGUUAUUCUUGAGUAAUUGUGAAGUGGUUAGAAUGUGUAGUGUAGCGGUGAAAUGCAUAGAUAUUACACAGAAUACCAAUUGCGAAGGCAGAUCACUAACAAUUAACUGACGCUGAUGGACGAAAGCGUAGGUAGCGAACAGGAUUAGAUACCCUGGUAGUCUACGCAGUAAACGAUGGUUACUAGCUGUUCGGUCUAAUUAAGGGCUGAGUGGCCAAGCGAAAGUGAUCAGUAACCCACCUGGGGAGUACGUU
rnacentral:rRNA from 1 species